ACCAGAUCUUGAUCUGGCGCUCGGACAGGCAGAGUGCGUGGGCGAUCUCGAUGCGCCGUCGCCGGGUCAGGUUGCUUGUCUGGAGAUGGAGCCACUACAGGCGGGCCUGGGCGCCUGGAGUCGGGCAUGAAAGAAAAUAGCGCCUCAUCGCUCUUAUCUAAGCCCAGAGGUCCAGGGGACAACCUGAGGGCCCUGAAGUGUUUCAAUACCAUGUACCAGCUUGACUUCUCUACAUGUCCUUUGGAUUGCCCAAAAGCAAAAUCUCAGAGGGGCCAAGGACCUUCUAGGGCUGGCUCCCUCAGGGCCUCCUAUAGAGCAGCUCCUUGAGUCGGGCCUUAUAGCCACCAGAAAGUCACCUCGCCGCAGGAAAGCUAUAAAGAGCUGCUCCAGAGGCGCCGAAAGAGGGUGAGGGCUGCAGCCACAGUGUUUGUCCCCAGCACCACCAGGCCCCUUAACCUCGUCAGCUCCUCUAGCCCUCGGCCAGACUCUGGCAACACCUUGGUUUGCCUGGCACCGCAGGCAAUUUCCUGGAACCCCACCCCCACCCAGGAACGGGGACCACAGCACCUUUAAAGGAACUGCCAGAGCUUCCUCCUACGGCUUGAAAGCCCAAGCUAAUCAGUAACCCGUGAGACAGGGGCCAAUAUUCAAACGCUGCAGCAGAGGCGCAUAGCCUAGCCCUGGCCACCCCCUCUUGGGAAGGAGGUCGAGUUAAGCCGGUGUGGAGGGUCCAACAGGAACGGAAAUUACGACGGUGUGGUUCCUUAAGGAUUUGGCCCCAGUCCCACUACCAAAUUUUUCCCAAAUCAUAUUUAGGUAGACUUCGCUUGAAAAGAUCGAGAAUGGAGGAGGGGAUCGGCACUCACUUGCAGACAUCAACAGUUUCCAGAAAAUUCGGUUCAAUUCCUUCACCACGGACCCACCAACCAAGGAGCUGGCAAAACCCACUAACCAACCAGGAGAACACAGACCCGGUUUGUCUUUUGACAACCGAGUGGAACUGACGGGGCCGGCGCCUGCCCUGCGGGUCCCCUCCCUUGGCUGAGAAGAAAACCAAAUAAACCUUGAACAGCCUUGGCUUCGGAUGUCUCAAGCGGCCUCAUCCUCUCCCGCGCCUUGGUGGGGUGGGGGUGGGGAUGGCGGUGGGGGUGUCGGCUCUGAUCCCUCCACCCUUUGAUUCAGGGCCCCUGCCCGCUGGAAGCAGAAUUAGACCUUUUUAUAUAUGCCCUAGAGGAAGCCGCUUCCCUUGCCAGCCGCCAGGUUUGGGGCUAGGAUGGGCGGGGACGGGGGCAGUGGGAAAUUGGGGAUGAUGGGUGGAGGAGAGACUUCUGUUCUCUAACUCACACCGGGGAACCAAGAUCUAGCUGAGAGCGUCGGUGUGGGCCCGAAAUCCCCCGAAUCCCGUGGACCCUGCGAGGCCGGGGCUCCAGGCGUCGGGCACCUCUGGACAGUGUCGCGGGGCUUGCGGCGCCGAAGCCGCGUGUCUCCGAACGGACGGUAGAUGGCAGCAGACCGCAUAAUUUGGGUCACAGCGAACUGUCUAAGGGAGGAUUUAUAACCCUCCAAGACUACAGGAGAAAAAGACCUUUAGUAUGGGUGGGUUUGGGAAAUUUUUCCCUUGAGAAUAGUCCCCGAGUGCCGUGGGUGCUGGCGGAGAACUCUAGCUACGAAGCCCAGCGGUCCCUCCAGGCGCCCAGGCCGGGCCUGAACCUAGGGCAUCUACCUGGGGCCACAGAGCCGCCUCUUCCGCGCCACAAGUGGCAGCGUCGUCCCUCUCCUAGCUUAGGACUGAGAUAAUAAAUAUAUCCCCACUUCCAAAACGCCCCAGACCCUGUAACUCCGGGGCAACCAGAGGCCCGAGGCUGAAUGUCCUGCAUCUGGUCUUAAGAAAGAGAAAAGCAAUCACAUGUUCGUGCAAACCAGACUAAAAAUCACAAUUUCUCCUGCCCUCCACAGCCAACAUCACUUAUCUCUUGGCUGGAAGCUUCCCCAGAAGCUCCCUUACCCCAUUUUUAAGUCCUUGCCUCAAGGCUGGCACCUACUUCCACCCCACGAGCUACUUUAGGAAUCUCUGUCACCUGCCCAAUGUUCUCCGCCCUCCCCACCCCCUAGAAGGCCUGACUGAGGGAUAAAAUUGGACACCCGAGGGACGGGACUGUCUGAGCUCAGUGCCAGUUAGCUUUUCAGUUUAGACGCCGCUAGGUCCCAUAAUUGGAUUUUCUUUUUAUUUUCUUCUUUCAUUUCUUUCUCUUUUAUUUUUAUUUACAAGCCUAAAACAAAAAGGCACUUAACAGCUUCUUCACAAUCACCAUGUCUGGACCCAGGAAAGUUUGAAAUGUUAUCAUAUCAGACACACACAUGGCAAUUUUUUCCUCCACCGAAAUCCACACAUCCCAUACCAAUACAACGCAAGUAAUAGAAUCAGUAUCACGCAGAAACCAACAGCUGUAACCUACCGCAUUAAAACCACAAAACUGUCUCCCUGUAGAGCGAGGCUCCCUCCUGCGGGAGUGGCGAGAUACUUGGGCAUUCUCGGGCAGGCUUCCUGCCGUUUCCUCUCCCUCGCCGGCCUCGGCGGAGAUUCCAGGCCCUAUAGAAACCAGGACGUCCCUUAGCGCCACCGCCUCACAUGCCAGUGCUGCCGGGAACCCAGCGAUAUCCGCACCAGCGGAGAAGGUUCCAGGCUGCCGGCGGCGGCGCAGAGAGCGGGAAGAGAGGCUCGGAGGAAGCCCCGGGCGUGGCGUGGUCAGGCUCCGAGAGCGGCCGGGAUGCGGCCACACCGGCCUGGUAAACUCGCACCUCUUAGGAUCUUGCUCCCGGACUCAUUCCCUUCCCCACCCCCUAUUUUAAAGUUUUAUUUGGGUCGUCUGUAUCAAUUUAGAACGAGAUAAAUUAAGACAAAGAAAGUAAAAUAAAUCGAAAUAAAAUAUAGGAAUAGCUCUUGGCGAAAAUGUUUGCCGUGCGAGCAGGAAGCCGUGAGCGCCCUAGUUGGAGGCUGCUCUGCGCCGACUAAGAGGCCUCUACUCCCAGGCCUGGCCUCUACGCAACGCCACCCAAGAAGCCAGAGUGAAUUUGGGUGUUCAUUUUCCCUUUCCUUCCGCUCUUCCUUCAUGUGGGGCCUAGCAGCUUGGAUUUCAGCUCCGUCUUUGUGCCUGGGCUGCAGCCCAGAUCCAGAUCCCGCAGCUUGGUUUCCAGGCCUGAAUGAGGACGCGGGUUUGUGAAACUGUGAGGUUUUUGUUUUGUUGUUUUGUGAGCUUGUGUGACUAAGCAUGUGGGCUUCUGAGUGCGUUUACUUGGGGGCAAAUGUGAAUCUGUGUUUAUAAGCCAAUGUGUGAAUGUACGUUGGUAUCAAUGUGUCUGUGAGUGUGAAUGUGUGUUUACUUGUGAGCGUGUGUGAACAUGAAUGCCUA
rnacentral:lncRNA from 10 species